rnacentral:rRNA from 1 species
GGCGUGCCUAUACAUGCAAGUCGAGCGGACAGAUGGGAGCUUGCUCCCUGAUGUUAGCGGCGGACGGGUGAGUAACACGUGGGUAACCUGCCUGUAAGACUGGGAUAACUCCGGGAAACCGGGGCUAAUACCGGAUACUUGUUUGAACCGCAUGGUUCAAACAUAAAAGGUGGCUUCGGCUACCACUUACAGAUGGACCCGCGGCGCAUUAGCUAGUUGGUGAGGUAAUGGCUCACCAAGGCAACGAUGCGUAGCCGACCUGAGAGGGUGAUCGGCCACACUGGGACUGAGACACGGCCCAGACUCCUACGGGAGGCAGCAGUAGGGAAUCUUCCGCAAUGGACNAAAGUCUGACGGAGCAACGCCGCGUGAGUGAUGAAGGUUUUCGGAUCGUAAAGCUCUGUUGUUAGGGAAGAACAAGUGCCGUUCAAAUANGGCGGCACCUUGACCGUACGUAACAANACAGUCACGGGGGGUACAUGCCAUCUCACGCGGUAAUACGGCUGUGGCAAGCGUU